UACGAAGGGGGCUAGCGUUGCUCGGAAUGACUGGGCGUAAAGGGCGCGUAGGCGGAUGGCACAGUCAGAUGUGAAAUUCCCGGGCUUAACCUGGGGGCUGCAUUUGAUACGUGUUGUCUUGAGUUCGGAAGAGGGUCGUGGAAUUCCCAGUGUAGAGGUGAAAUUCGUAGAUAUUGGGAAGAACACCGGUGGCGAAGGCGGCGACCUGGUCCGACACUGACGCUGAGAGACGAAAGCUAGGGGAGCGAAUGGG
rnacentral:rRNA from 1 species